AAGCUUUUAGGCUUUUGAGCAGCACAGUUCAGCUGAGAUCCAUUUGGAUGAGGACACAGAGGCUUCCAGUCUGAGGAAACAGGAUCAGCUGAGAAGUUGGCGAGACCAAGUGGAGCAGCCAGCUGGCAGUAGCGCCAUGUAGGACCCUGCAGAACCCCUGGUAAG